rnacentral:tRNA from 1 species
GCGAGGAUGGCGGAACUGGCAGACGCGCUGGGCUUAGAACCCAGUGGGUAACACCGUAGGGGUUCGACUCCCCUUCCUCGCA